rnacentral:rRNA from 1 species
UACGUAGGGGGCAAGCGUUGUCCGGAUUUAUUGGGCGUAAAGAGCGUGUAGGCGGCCAUGUAGGUCCGUUGUGAAAACUCGAGGCUCAACCUCGAGACGCCGAUGGAAACCAUGUGGCUAGAGUCCGGAAGAGGAGAGUGGAAUUCCUGGUGUAGCGGUGAAAUGCGCAGAUAUCAGGAAGAACACCCGUGGCUAAGGCGGCUCUCUAGUACGGUACUGACGCUGAGACGCGAAAGCGUGGGUAGCAAACAGG